UUUGAGAGUCAAAGGCAGUGGUCUUUCCAA
rnacentral:piRNA from 1 species